GGUAACUUUAAACCACUCGACAAAUGGCAAAGUGUUUUAAGGCUGUACGUGGUGGGAUUCGAACCUACGCGUGGACAUCUGCCCGAUCCCACGCUCACUAUGCUACCGCCUCCCUUCAGUGUCCUUGUCUCCACACACCCCUUGUCAUCCUGCACCCACACCUUGCUGUCUUUCACCCUUCACCCUUCAUGCUCCACGCUUCACUCUUCACCAGUCACCCUGCCCAUCCUGCUGGCGGCGUGUCAUCCUGCACCCACACCUUGCUGUUCUUUACUCUCUACCCUUCACCCUUCACUCUGGCCAUCCUGCUGGCGGCGGCGGGUCUUGGAUUAGGGACGGCCACCUGCUAACUCUUAAAUGGCAAGAUUUGUCUCACUUUGAGAUUUGUCAGAAUAGAGACUAAUACACUCUAAAGGCGGGUGAGAGCGACCUGGUGGUGUUGAGGCACGAAAUAACACCAAACUGGCCGGACGGAUCCACUGAAGUCAAGGGAAUCACACUGGUCGAAUACGGAAAUCCCAACGGAGGUACAGCGCCACAGAGGUACAGCGGGUGUUCCAGCGGCGAUGUGUACGAAGAUGGUGCUCUGAGGGGAUCCAAACGCGUAUUACCGCUCAAACGCGACAUGUACUGUACCACCAAACAGUGCUGGCUCGCGUGAGGCAGGAAGGCAUCCAGGCCAAUACCACAUCCACCUUUGUGUGAUUCCGUGUUUGGAAGUGUGUUUGUGAGCGUGUUUGGAGGAAUAAAUUGUGUGUUUAGGUGUGUUUGGAGGACAAAAAUGUCUGUUUGGGGUGUGUUUUGUAAGUGUGUUUGGGUGUGUUUUGAGAGUGUUUGUAGGAAAAAUUGUGUUUGGGUGUGUUUUGAGU